rnacentral:precursor_RNA from 1 species
UUAAAAAGUGGAUGGCACCGCAUCCCGAACAUGCUUGCAUUGACUACCCUGAGCAACAAUGCAAGCAUGUUCGGGAUGCGGUUUUCUCCCUUGAAAU